rnacentral:sRNA from 1 species
UGAACAUUAUUGCAGUUCUGCAAAGGAUAUUUUCUUUUAAAACAUCCAUAUCUCUUCUUUGCCGUGGAAACUAGACCCAAUCUACCUGAACCUGCGGCACCCCUCUGAUGACCCAUUUGGAUUCUCUGAUUUCACUGCCAAAAUUCUCAGUUCUCCAAAAUACUUAUCAUUCAGGUUGAAUAAACCAGUUCUACGGACUGCUUCUUCCGUGCAUUUCCCAAUGAUGCUAACUGCCCUUAAAAUUCUUUCAGAUUUGGAACUCUAUCUGUAUGGAAACAACAGACUUUUCUUGAAGUACAACUAAGGACAGGUUACCACUAGGCACUAACAUCGCUGACUUGCAUGAUUAUGGAGAUGGUCUAUCUGAUGCUGAAAAUGUCUCUAGUUUUUUGACAACGGCUAAAUAACCAUGGGAUCGAGUGGCCUUGGGAAAGCAGCAACAUUAGAUGAACUGCUGCGCACUUGCAUUGAGAUGUUUGAUGACAAUGGAGAGCUGGAUAAUAGUUAUUUGCCAAGAAUAGUUCUACUGAUGCACCGAUGGUAUUUAUCUUCCACUGAGUUGGCAGAAAAACUUCUCUGCAUAUAUCUUUUCAACUACUGUGUAAUUUUUACAAUCAUAAAUCAAGCUCUG